GACGAACGCUGGCGGCGUGCUUAACACAUGCAAGUCGAACGGAAAGGCCCUGCUUUUGUGGGGGGCUCGAGUGGCGAACGGGUGAGUAACACGGGAGUAACCUGCCCUUGACUGUGGGGUAACUUCAGGAAACUGGGGCUAAUACCGGAUAGGAGCUCCUGCUGCAUGGGGGGGGUUGGAAAGUGUCGGCGGGUGGGGAUGGACGGCCGGGUAAUCAGCUUGUUGGUGGGGUAGUGGCUUACCAAAGCUUAGAUGGGUGGCCGGCCUGGGAGGGGGGCCAGGGACAAUGGGACUGCGGGACGGACCAGACUCGUACGGGGGGCAGCAGUGGGGAAUAUUGCACAGUGGGCGGAAGCCUGAUGCAGCGACGCCGCGUGCGGAAUGAAGGCCUUCGGGUUGUAAAACGCUUUCGCCUGUGACGAAGCGUGAGUGACGGUAAUGGGUAAAGAAGCACCGGCUAACUACGUG
rnacentral:rRNA from 1 species